UUGUGGCUUCCUGCCUCCACC
rnacentral:piRNA from 1 species